UACGGGGGGGGGGCAAGCGUUGUUCGGAAUUACUGGGCGUAAAGGGUUUGUAGGUGGCUUGUUAAGUCAGACGUGAAAUCCCUCAGCUUAACUGGGGAACUGCGUCUGAUACUGGUGAGCUUGAGUGCAGGAGAGGAACGCGGAAUUCCAGGUGUAGCGGUGAAAUGCGUAGAUAUCUGGAGGAACACCCAUGGCGAAGGCAGCUCUCUGGUCGACAUCUGACGCUGAGACGCGAAAGCGUGGGGAGCGAACGGG
rnacentral:rRNA from 1 species